rnacentral:lncRNA from 1 species
AUUUAGGUUUAAACCUAUAGGAUUUCACAUAUAGAAGUACCUAUUUGAUCAAAUGAUUGAUCGACAAUUAUGAAUUAUUGAAGGGUUUAAUUAUUAAUUUGAUUAAUGAUUAAUCCUAUACAAAGGUUGCAAUAAAUAUUUACUAAUGAUUAGUAAAUUAAAAAAAUAAGUAAUUAAUAAUAUAAUUAUUAAUUAGCUUAAUUUGAUUGAGUAAUGG